rnacentral:rRNA from 1 species
GACGAACGCUGGCGGCGUGCCUAACACAUGCAAGUCGAGCGGCAAGUCCCUGCUUUUGUGGGGGGCUCGAGUGGCGAACGGGUUAGUAACUCGUGUGUAACCUGCCCUUGACUUUGGGAUAACUUCAGGAAACUGGCGCUAAUACCGGAUAGGUUCUCCUGCAGGAUGGUGGGGGCUGUAAAUUAUCGGCGGGUGGGGAUGGUCUCCCGGCAUGUCAGCUUGUUGUAGGGGUAGUGGCUUACCAAGGCUUUGACCGGUAGCCGGGCUGAGAGGGGGACCGGCCACAUUACGACUGAGAUACGGCACAGACUACUACGGGACGCAGCAGUGGAGAGUAUUACACAAUGGACGGAAGCCAAAUGCAGCCACGCCACGUGCGGGAUGACGGCCUUCGGGUUGUAAACCGCUUUCGCCUGUGACGAAGCGUGAGUGACGGUAAUGGGUAAAGAAGCACCGGCUAACUACGUG